rnacentral:rRNA from 1 species
UAAACUAGGAUUAGAUACCCUAUUAUUUUAUAUGUUAAUUAUUUACCAGGGUAGUAAUAGUUAUGUGCUUGAAACCUAAAGAAUUUGGCGGUGUUUUAGUCUUUUCAGAGGAAUUUGUCUUAUAAUCGAUAGUCCCCGUUUUAUCUUACUUAUUCUAGAUUAGUCAGUAUGUAUAUCGCCGUUAUAAGUUUAUUUUUUAAGGAUUUUUAAUUUACUAAUAAUUUUAUUAUAUGUUAUUUCAGGUCAAGGUGCAGCUAAUGUUUAAGUAUAGAUGGAUUACAAUAUUAUUUUAAUAUACGGAUUUUUUAAUAUUAAAUGGUUUAAUGAAGGUGGAUUUGAUAGUAAUUUUAAUUAUAGUGUUAUUUUGAUUUUAGCUCUAAAAUAAGUACACAUCG